GGUUUCUUCAAAGAAAAGCUCGCAUUCAAAUUUGGCUUUUUGAGCAGAAGGAUUUGAGGAUUGAAGGGUGUAUCAUC